UUUGGAGCUAACUAACAGCAAUAAUGCUAUCUGGAGUGAGGUAGAGGAAAUAGCAACUUUGUGUCACUACAAAAAUGUUGAAAAGAUUAUCUGCCUAAUAAAGGACAUUCUUUGGAACAGUUUUCAAUGGGAAAUGUAUGAUUAGUUUAAUGUGCAUCAUUAAGUAGUUGUAAAAGUGGAAUAAGCAGAAACUCUCGGUCAGAAAACCUGGCAAUGGUUAAAUAUGUUGUUCACAUGGGUUAAAUACAGUAUAUAGAAUUAAAAAUGCACGAACACGUCUGGCCCCGUGACGCUCCGCUGUUGGCCAAUACGAAAUGCAGGAUGUGUCGCAAGGAUGUCGCAAGGGAGCCGAGUGAGUACCAGGAGAGGCGAGAAAGAAAGGAUAACGAGUCCGGUUUUCCCACACGAGAAAUUACGCUGUUGAGCAGCCGUAAUAAUAACGAUCAACGCAAACGAGUGGAUUCUUUGUCGGCCGACCAGUGUGCGUUUUAAUAACGGCGAGAGCGGUAAUGAUCGACUUGCCCGAUCGAAAACGUCGGAUUGCACUCGUUGACAUUAUCUCCUGGCACCGAUGGUAGUAAUUACAGUCGAGUUUACUUCGAGUUUGCCUAGCCCUGGAUAAUGAAUGCGAUUGAACUCAAAUAUCAAGGAUUUUUCUUUUCUUCUCUUCGUACAGUUGUUCCAAGUCCAUUUUUACAUCGAGAAUGUUAUUUAUCCUUUAAGAGGUUAGGCCGUGAUCAGAUUCAUGUAUUGUUUGUAAUGAUUCAUUUCGUUCUUGGUUAUGUAAGCUUGUGAACUUGAUUGUAAUUUCAGUUGUAAAAUUUUGUUUGUUCUUUGUGUGAUCAGAGAGUAAGGUUCUAGGUGGAUUGUGUUAGUUGAUACUGUUUAGUAGUAAACUGAAAUGAAACAGCUCGUAAGAUGAUACAGGAUUUUAUGACAUCCUAUAAAAAUAUGAAAACACUUUACAUAAGUAGUUUUUUAAAU